rnacentral:rRNA from 1 species
AGCGAACGCUGGCGGCAGGCCUAACACAUGCAAGUCGAACGAACCUUUCCUGGCUAGUGGCAUAUGGGUGAGGAACACCUGGGAACUUGCCUUUAGGAUCCUACUAACUCAGGGAAACUUGUGCUAAUACCCAAUGUGCCCUGCCGGGGAAAGAUUUAUCGCCUUUAGAGCGGCCCGCGCCUGAUUAUCUAUGAGGCUGAGGCAAAGGCUCUCCUAGGCGACGAUCAGGACCUGGUCUGAGACGAUGAUCAACCGCAUUGAGACUGAGACCCGGCCCACACUCCUAGAGAAGGCAGCCGGGCUCAAUCUUGCGCAAUGGGCGAAAAACUGACGCAACCGUGCCGCGUGAAUGAUCAACGUCGUAGGAUGGGAAAAUUCUGUCUCCGUGGGACGAUAAUGACUGAACCCGGAAAAAAAGGCCCGGGUAACUUCCUGCCUACAUCCGACGUUAUACGAAGGGGGCUAGCCUUGCUCGUAAUUACUGGCCGUCAAGGGAGCGUAGGCGGAGCUUUAAUUCAUGGGAGAAAUCCCGGGGCUCAACCUCGGAAUUGCCUUUGAUACUGGGGGUCUUGAGCAUGAGAGAAGUGUGUGGAACUCCGAGUGUAGAGGUGAAAUUCCUAAAUAUUCUGAAGAACUCCCGUGGGGAAGGCGACACACUGGCUCAUUACUGACGCUGAGGAUCGAAAGCGUGGGGAGCAAACAGGAUUAGAUACCCUGAUACUCCCCCCCCUAAACGAUGAUUGCUAGUUGGCUGGAUGCCUGCAUUUCGGUGACGCACCUAACGCAUUAAGCAAUCCUGCCUGGGGAGUACGGUCGCACGAUUAUAACUCUCAGGAGUUGUCGGGGGCCCGCAUCAAGCGGCGGAGCAUGUGGUUUUAUUCUAAACGACGCGCAAAACCUUACCACCUUUUGACAUGCCCGGACCGCCAGAUGAGAUCUGGCUUUCCCUUCUGGGACUGUCACACAGGUGCUGCAUGGGUGUGGUCAGCUCGUGUCGCGAGAUGUUGGGUUAAGUCCCGCAACGAGCGCAACCCUCCCCAUUAGUUGCCAUCAUUCAGCAGGGAACUCUAAAGGAAGGCGCGGUGCUAAGCCGGAGGAACGUGGGCAUGACGUCCAGUCCUCCUGGCCCUUUCCGGGUGGGGUACCCGCGUGCUGCAACGCAGCCUACAGAGGGUUAUUCCUUAAAAGUCGUCUCAGUUCGGAUUGUCCUCUGCAACUCGAGGGCAUGAAGUCGGAAUCGCUAGUAAUCGCGGAUCAGCAUGCCGCGGUGAAUACGUUCCCGGGCCU